CAAAAUUAUUUGAUAGAAAUGUGAGGCUAAAGUGAAGAAAAUAAAGGCAUUGGCUUUGUUGUACAAAAUUAUUUGAUAGAAAUGUGAGGCAAGUGAAGAAAAUAAAGGCAUUGGCUUUGUUUUCAACAAUUCCGCAAUCAUGAACGAAGACGAGCAACUAAUGGUUUUGGAUUCAAGAUGUAAAAUUUUCCUUUAUACACCAAUCCAUUGUGCCAGAAAAGGCUUAUGUCUAAUGACAAGACAAAAAAUAACAGCUGCUGCAUUGAAUGGUGUAUCUUUGGAUUGGAGAAAGAAUGUCACUUUUCUUCUGUAAGCAUAUUAUUAUCACUUUACUUCUGUAAGCAUAUUAUUAUUUGUAAAUACAUUAUUAAGGUUGGAGUGGAUUGCAAUGAACAUUGAGUUUAAUCAUCCUUUUUCUUUCUUUUUCUUUGGAUAAAGAGAUGGCUUUGAUGGUCUUACAAUCAUGCAUUGUAUUCCGAUGACUUGCCAUAAGGAUAAUGAUCUUUUUGAUUUCCUUAAGUCAAUGCGGUUUGUUCAAGUCCAUAUGAGCUAGUGAUAAACCUGAAAUCAUCAGUUGAUCAAAUGCACAAAUACUGGCUUGCAGUGGUUUCAAACAUCAACUCGUGUAGGAAAACAAUUUAAAGGUAGAAGACCUUUAAAUGUAAGAAGGAAAGAGAUUUUGUUUANN
rnacentral:lncRNA from 1 species